CAUUCGGGAGUCAGCAGUGGGGAAUAUUGGACAAUGGGAGCAAGCCUGAUCCAGCCAUGCCGCGUGAGUGAUGAAGGCCUUAUGCUUCAAAAUCUUUAUGGGUGACGAUAAUGACGGACUGCGUGAGCCUUCC
rnacentral:rRNA from 1 species